AGCAGCCGCGGUAAUUCCAACUCCAAUAGCGUAUAUUAAAGUUGUUGCAGUUAAAAAGCUCGUAGUUGAAUUUCGGGGUUAGUAGGUUGGUCAUGCCUCUGGUAUGUACUGGUCUCACUGAUUCCUCCUUCCUGAUGAGCCGUAAUGCCAUUAAUUUGGUGUUGCGGGGAAUUUGGACUGUUACUUUGAAAAAUUAGAGUGUUUAAAGCAGGCUCACGCUUGAAUACAUUAGCAUGGAAUAACGAAAUAGGACGUUUGAUUCUAUUUUGUUGGUUUCUAGGAUCGACGUAAUGAUUAAUAGGGAUAGUUGGGGGCAUUAGUAUUCAAUUGUCAGAGGUGAAAUUCUUGGAUUUAUUGAAGACUAACUACUGCGAAAGCAUUUGCCAAGGAUGUUUUCAUUAAUCAAGAACGAAAGUUAGGGGAUCGAAGACGAUCAGAUACCGUCGUAGUCUUAACCAUAAACUAUGCCGACUAGGGAUCGGAUGAUGUUAAUUUUUAAUGACUCAUUCGGCGCCUUACG
rnacentral:rRNA from 1 species